AUUGAACGCUGGCGGCAGGCCUAACACAUGCAAGUCGAGCGGAUGAAGGGAGCUUGCUCCUGGAUUCAGCGGCGGACGGGUGAGUAAUGCCUAGGAAUCUGCCUGGUAGUGGGGGAUAACGUCCGGAAACGGGCGCUAAUACCGCAUACGUCCUGAGGGAGAAAGUGGGGGAUCUUCGGACCUCACGCUAUCAGAUGAGCCUAGGUCGGAUUAGCUAGUUGGUGGGGUAAAGGCCUACCAAGGCGACGAUCCGUAACUGGUCUGAGAGGAUGAUCAGUCACACUGGAACUGAGACACGGUCCAGACUCCUACGGGAGGCAGCAGUGGGGAAUAUUGGACAAUGGGGGAAAGCCUUGUCCAGCCAUGCCGAGUGUGUGAAGAAGGUCUUCGGAUUGUAAAGCACUUUAAGUUGGGAGGAAGGGCAGUAAGUUAAUACCUUGCUGUUUUGACGUUACCAACAGAAUAAGCACCGGCUAACUUCGUG
rnacentral:rRNA from 1 species